rnacentral:rRNA from 1 species
GGAGGGAGCUAGCGUUGUUCGGAAUUACUGGGCGUAAAGCGUACGUAGGCGGUUAUUCAAGUCAGAGGUGAAAGCCCGGGGCUCAACCCCGGAACUGCCUUUGAAACUAGAUAGCUAGAAUCUUGGAGAGGUCAGUGGAAUUCCGAGUGUAGAGGUGAAAUUCGUAGAUAUUCGGAAGAACACCAGUGGCGAAGGCGACUGACUGGACAAGUAUUGACGCUGAGGUACGAAAGCGUGGGGAGCAAACAGGAUUAGAUACCCUGGUAGUCCACGCCGUAAACGAUGAUAACUAGCUGUCCGGGCACUUGGUGCUUGGGUGGCGCAGCUAACGCAUUAAGUUAUCCGCCUGGGGAGUACGGUCGCAAGAUUA